rnacentral:lncRNA from 1 species
AAAAGUUCACAACAUCUUAGGACUGAUAGGAUAUUAUUGAUGUUUCAUCAAGCAUUUUUCUGGUAUUGACGCUCACUUAACCCAUCUCACCAUAAAGAGUUUUUUUUCUCAAUUGGGACCCCUAAAUGUGGAAAAAGUUUUGUCGAGCUUAAUCGUCGACUCACCACUGUAAUGGUGUUGAUCCUCCCUGAUAACAUUAGACGAUUUCAG